ensembl:lncRNA
GUGGGCCUGAUGUGAUGGGAGUUCAUUUGAAGCCUCAGUCUGGAAGCUGGUGCAGGUUGCUUAGGUGCAGGCUGAGCUCCUGAGGAGCUGUGGGGAUGUAUGCAAAGAUGGUUUUCAGCCUAAAGAAUUAGAGCAAUUUGUGAUGUGACUACUGAGUAGCAUUCCAGGGACAACGUGUCUCCUUCAACACUAAUUAAAGGUAAUUCAAAUGUGUGGCUUCUAACUACUUGCAGAGGACAGCUUAGUAUUGCUAACACCAUGUGGUGUUCGAAGCUGAGAGGUUCCUUGAGUCCCAGGACAGCAUGAACCAGCAUCCCUUCACAGUGCCUCUGAUGGUACCGCAUAUUGGACUUGCUGCAGCACACCAGGGAGGAAUGCUUGCAGUUAGCAGCAAAUAAAACAGCCACCAGCCAGACUUUUUGCCAUGUUCCACAGGAGACGUGAAGUGCUGGUGGAUAAUUCUGCAUGGCUGAUGAAAAUGUGUGGCCAAAGUAUCUCAGGCUUAUAUGGAGAGGUGACUAAGGAGGAAUGGCCAGCCAACCUCAAACCUCAGAUAGCUGCAAAAAACCACCAGCCCUGGAGCGUAUUAUCCUCCCAACAGACACUGUGUUUCUGCUGUAGGAGUACAGUGAACACACGGGUGCUGCAACCUGGAAAUCCAUCAGCAGUGAGGCUGUCUGAUUUGCCCCAGAGUUACCCAAACUGGAAAUCUCAUCAGCAGGAAGAGGGACUGCAGUCACCGUGGGGACUUGUGGCAAGGUGUUGGUGUGUCUGAGAAGGUGACUUACUGGAAACACUGAACAGACAGAAGUAGAAACUAGUCAUGUCAGAGACCACUCGGCAGCUGGAUGGGAUUCCUUGCGUGAUUCAUCCACAAAAAUGACUGCUUUGCCUGACGUCGUAUUUCCCCCCCUUUAUUUAGAAUGCAGCUUUGGCUGCCGUGGCUGUGGUCCAUUGUCUGGAUUGCUUUUUGAUGGCUGGGUGGUACGGAUAGCAUCCUUGUAUUCUCAUGAUUUCUAAACCACUGCUCGGACCAGGGGGGAAAAAGACAACCAAAUGAAGGGCUUCGUCACUCCAGAAGCCCUCAGUGGAAUGAACCUGUAAUCUUAGGAAAUCAAAGGGGAAUCUGGGGAAUGUGUCAUUUUUAGUGUCUUUAAGGCAGCAAAAUUACAAGUGAGAAUAGCUGCCUGUAAAUUGUGUUUAUGGAGUUAAUUGACAGGAAUAGUAGAGAAGGGAAAGUCUGGAUGAAAGCCUCUGGGUCUGAACUGCUCUGUUUCAGGAGGAGGUCUAAAGGAAGGACCGUCACCUGAUGCAACCAAAAUGUACCGGGAUGCAUGGAUCAGUUACUGUGCCUCAGCAGAGGAAUUCAUAGUGAUGCUGCCCUGUGGCAAUGCUGUGACCACCCAUUCUUGUGAAACUCACUCAAAUGUUUGCAGGAUUACUGAGCUGCACAAACCAGCAGUGG